rnacentral:rRNA from 1 species
UACGUAGGUGGCAAGCGUUGUCCGGAUUUACUGGGCGUAAAGGGCGUGCAGGCGGUUUGUUAAGUGCAGAGUGAAAGCUCCCGGCUCAACUGGGAGAGGUCUUUGCAUACUGGCAAACUCGAGGGAGGCAGAGGAAAGUGGAAUUCCCGGUGUAGUGGUGAUAUGCGUAGAUAUCGGGAGGAACACCUGCGGCGAAGGCGGGUUGCUGGGCCGACACUGACGCUGACAGCGCGAAAGCUAGGGGAGCAAACGGG